AUAUCAAUAAGCGGAGGAAAAGAAACUAACAAGGAUUCCCCUAGUAACUGCGAGUGAAGCGGGAAAAGCUCAAAUUUAAAAUCCUUCGGGAGUUGUAAUCUAGAGAAGUGUCUUCGGUCGUUGCCUCGAACAAGUCCCUUGGAACAGGGCGUCAUAGAGGGUGAGAAUCCCGUUCUUGUCGAGCUACCAACGUCUAUGUGAUGCACUCUCGAAGAGUCGAGUUGUUUGGGAAUGCAGCUCAAAACGGGUGGUAAACUCCAUCUAAAGCUAAAUAUUGGCGAGAGACCGAU
rnacentral:rRNA from 1 species